rnacentral:rRNA from 1 species
UGGUGGAAAGAAUUUUGGUCAAGGAUGGACUCGCGGCCUAUCAGGUAGUUGGUGAGGUAAUGGCUCACCAAGCCUACGACGGGUAGCCGGCCUGAGAGGGUGACCGGCCACACUGGGACUGAGACACGGCCCAGACUCCUACGGGAGGCAGCAGUGGGGAAUAUUGCACAAUGGGCGAAAGCCUGAUGCAGCAACGCCGCGUGAGGGAUGACGGCCUUCGGGUUGUAAACCUCUUUUAGCAGGGAAGAAGCGAAAGUGACGGUACCUGCAGAAAAAGCACCGGCUAACUACGUGCCAGCAGCCGCGGUAAUACGUAGGGUGCAAGCGUUGUCCGGAAUUAUUGGGCGUAAAGAGCUCGUAGGCGGUUUGUCGCGUCUGCUGUGAAAACUGGAGGCUCAACCUCCAGCCUGCAGUGGGUACGGGCAGACUAGAGUGCGGUAGGGGAGAUUGGAAUUCCUGGUGUAGCGGUGGAAUGCGCAGAUAUCAGGAGGAACACCGAUGGCGAAGGCAGAUCUCUGGGCCGUAACUGACGCUGAGGAGCGAAAGGGUGGGGAGCAAACAGGCUUA